rnacentral:rRNA from 1 species
GAGGAAUAUUGGUCAAUGGGCGCGAGCCUGAACCAGCCAAGUAGCGUGCAGGAUGACGGCCCUAUGGGUUGUAAACUGCUUUUGUAUGGGGAUAAAGUCAAUCACGUGUGAUUGUUUGCAGGUACCAUACGAAUAAGGACCGGCUAAUUCCGUGCCAGCAGCCGCGGUAAUACGGAAGGUCCGGGCGUUAUCCGGAUUUAUUGGGUUUAAAGGGAGCGUAGGCCGGAGAUUAAGUGUGUUGUGAAAUGUAGACGCUCAACGUCUGACUUGCAGCGCAUACUGGUUUCCUUGAGUGCGCACAACGUUGGCGGAAUUCGUCGUGUAGCGGUGAAAUGCUUAGAUAUGACGAAGAACUCCGAUUGCGAAGGCAGCUGACGGGAGCGCAACUGACGCUGAAGCUCGAAGGUGCGGGUAUCGAACAGGAUUAGAUACCCUGGUAGUCCGCACAGUAAACGAUGGAUGCCCGCUGUUGGUACCUGGUAUCAGCGGCUAAGCGAAAGCAUUAAGCAUCCCACCUGGGGAGUACGCCGGCAACGGUG